UAAACAUCUGCUAGGAAAUGCGUUGCAUAGAAGGUUCAGAAAAAGAAAUGGAUGAUCCCAACUGGAAAGACUAAAUUGAGGCAGAUCAUCACCCCAUGAUGAGAUCAUCCAGUGUGCCGCCGUUCUGCUCUUAGAGAACAUGAACUGUAGGAGGAUCAGAAGAAGCCUGCAGAAAGAAGGAUUACACUGCACUCGUUUUUUUCCUAUAAAAAUGUUUCCUCGUGUUGUAAACUGUUCUAAAGAAAAUGCUGUCAUCCAAAAGUGCAAUAAGAUGAAGAGCUUACAAUAAAAGUAUAUAAAACGUA